UGUUGGGGCUGUCCUGCUGCCUGUCCUGUCCCUCUUCCUGAGGUGUUUGGGCUUCUUGGCUUGACCGUGGUGCUGCCUCACCGCCUUGGAGAUCCCCAGCUACCGGGGAAGCAUUCUGUGGUCCUGGCCACUGGUUUACAGAUGAACCACUUUGUGGAUGAUAAACUCACUGACAGCAUUGCCAAAUACUCCCCAGAGCAUUGAACCAGCACUGUCUGAACUCACGAGGAUCUUUACUGUGGUUUCCCUGCCAUGAAAUUGUUGGAUGUUGCUGCUUUUUUUCUGAACACAGCAAAAAUAGCCAGUGCAAAUUGAAUGUAUUUUGUGAAACUGGCUUAGCUUACAACUAAUCCUUUAAUCUAUAUGGAGACAGGAGAAUCCAGUGGUUGGAGCACAGAAAUAAGAUCCAAUAAACUGGUUUCUAGCAUUGCAUUCUGCCCCUUGCGUCACCCUCCCAGCCAAUAGGUGUCCAUCUGUAAAAACACAUCACUCAGCCACCUUUCUACAUGGCUGGGAUGUUCUGAUGAAAAGGGAUCUUAACAUGCAAAAGAUAUCAAUGAAACUGCAGAGAGAGGGAAAGGCAUCAGCCAGUAUCCAGCCAGAAGCACAUUAACUGCUCACUGCUGGCCCUCUCACAGAGUACUUUCCAAGAUAAGGUACAAAACACUGCAAGCAAGCAGUCCAGGAACCUAAAUCUGAACUCUGACUAUCAAGGGAGAGUCAAUUAUUUGCAAUUGCAGAAGUUAAUGCGCUUCAGGAUUGAUUAAGUGAAAGAUUGUUAUGAAAAAAAAAAAAAACCAACCCUGUAAUUAAAAAUAUAUGUAUUUUUUAAGGAGCCUUCCUUACUCUGAAAGCCUUGUAUACAGUAGUGUGAGGAAAGCUUAUGUUAUAUAUGUGUGUGUGUGUACAUACACGACCCAAAUCCUGCUAUCAAUUACAGAUACAAAUCUGGAACAACUCCAGGGCUAUUUGCAUGGGCCUAAACUAGAACAGACUGGGGCUUGUGAAGGAGGUGUGUGCAUUCAGCGCUGUUUGCUCUUCUGUGGAGGCAGAGAAAAUUAAUUCCCGAGCGCCCGGAGCUGCCCAGUAAAUCCCGUUUGCAGAGCUGAAUUUUCCGUUCGCGCCAAAUUCUGCUUAAUCUCUCCCCUUGUCAGAGUUCGGCCGGCACCGAGGGUCCCGCAAGGAGCCGCAGGUUUAGGAUCAUCCUGCUAAAGCCGGCGUUGUUUUAAGAAGUGCACACCAGCAAAUCAGAAAUUGGGAGGUGGUGUUGAGAUGGUGGUUUUAUUGAGUGGUUAUCUGUGGAAGCUGAGAGGUGAGCAGGGCACCCAGGGCAGCACAAGGGUGCACUGACAGCGCAGCCAGACGGGCAAGACACUGAGUCCUUUCAGCCACGGGCUCAGUCUGCUGGAAAAACGAGACCCAUCACGCACCACCAGACCACAAGGAAUGCUUCCUCUUUUAUUCAUUCACUCAGUUUUAAAGCCAUCCUUGCCUGGCUUUGUGUCACUGGCAGGGAAAGUUUCACCGUGCCCCUGCCAGCUCGUCCUCUCCUGCCAUUCCUCUGUGCUGACUUGAUUUCUCUGCGCUGAUGUGACUUUUUGGAGGCUGUGCUGCGAAGGCAGCUAGCAAAUUAAUCUCCCUGAAAUCCACCUAACCCCCUCCUGCGAGCAGAAAGUGGCCCUGCCAAAACACCACACUUCCUACGGGGUGAGCAGGGAGCCCGCAGCAAACGGCAAAUUUUGUUUGUACACCCGCAAGAUUCGCUAAAAACUUCCAUUGUUCUCGUGUGUAAUCUGUGAAGAAAUGCACGUCCUGGAGAAGCAGCCUGUAAUUUGUAGCACAUGAGUGUGCUUUGGGGAAAAUCAAUCAAAUGAACUAAGACGUGUUCUCAACUCCUAAACUAAUGAUCCUUCCUGUGAGCAGCAUGAAACACCAGGAGAGUCCCAGAUGGCAUAAAUCCUCCAGGUUUCAGCAGAGCUGUGACAGUUUAUACUGCCUCAACAGUACCCUAAUUGUGCUGCAAACUUUUUAAGGUGGCGAGCAGUCAGCCUUUUCAAAAGCCUCCUUCUUCCCAAGCAGACCCAGAGCUAAACAAACAAGUUUACCAGUUAGUGAGAAGAGAAUGCCAGAUUUAAUUUGUAAUCUUUCAGGGCUGAUGUGCUUAAAAAUAAAAACUCUGAAAGUCUGAUUUUGUCUCAAGAAAUGCCAAGCAGCUGCGUAGAGGCAUUCAGGGCUGGGACCUGAACCAACUUCUGUUGAGAGAGGAAAUUAGGACCAUUUUGUUACCCUGACAAAAAAAUGAAAUCUAUGAGAGCAGUAAUUCCUUUGCAGAAAAAAUCAAUAGUUUCAGCAUGCUUUUAACGUGGCAAUUUGCUGUGGAACAUCUUAACAAUACCUCAGCAAAUCACCAGCUGAAAUCAGCUGCUGGCUUUGAAUGUACAAGUACAGGACUGCAUGAAAAAUGUGUAGUCAAAGCAGAGGAAAUCUCCCAGAAUCGUGACUUCCUCACUCCUAAAGUCAUUGAGAAAGAUCUGAGAGCAGAUACCAGGUAAGAAGCUUUGGUUUACAGAGAGAAGUUACAAAAACACCAAAACCCAAAUAUUUUAACUCUAAUCUGGCAGAAACUCUUAGAGCUUCUUUCCCUCUGUGCCUCAGAUCACCCAUUUACAGAGUAAGGCCUUUAUUAAACAGUGAGGGGAAAUUAUUAAGCAGUUAAUAGCCACAACAUGAUCUUCAUAGACCUAUGUAAGCACUAAAUAUCAUUAUUCAACAGAUUCUGUAGAACAAAAAUACAAGAAGGAGGCAAUUUCUCUGUAUUUGUUGCAUGCUGCUCUGAUGACUGAGUAGUACAAACCAUGCAACAUUCAUCUUGAUUUUUGUCAUUUAGCAGUAGCAAUGCAGACCUCACAGUGCCUUUGCUUAUUUCAAUGAUACCAAAAAGGGCUAAAAAAUUGUUUUUAAAGGAAAUUCAAGUCAAUUCCUAAACCUGCUUAGCUUUGCAUUUAACCUUCUGAAAAGUGUAGAGCAGGAAAUCCAAAUUACAUAAGGAAAAUAUGUUUAAAAAUGAUCUCUGACAUAAUUCCAAGGUUAUCUCUGGAUCGAAUUGUCAGGGGAUAGAAUUUGCAAGCAAACAGCAAUAAAGCAGUGGUUCUGCUAUCAGCCCUGAACAGUAUCCUGAUGUGUCUGUAUUUCACUCUGCCUAAUCCCUGCUCAGUAAUUAGAAAUGUUGUGGCAGCUCUGAAAACGAGAAGUGACGCUCUUAUUUUACAUGUGCUCCAAAACACAUCCAUCAGAAGAUCUGCAGCAAGGAAACAUUUUCCAAAAGGAAAUCAAAUGAUUCAUGUUUUACUUCACUGUAAAUUCUCUGUGAUGGAUGCUGGAAUUAAUUAGGGAGAUGUUAUGCUCAGCAUCUCAUACUGAAUUCCUUGUGGGAGAGUCUACUUAGAAUCAUGCUGGUGAUGCACAAAACCUUAAUAUUGAAUGAGCAAGUUGAAGAAGUUCUAGAUAAGGAAAUUCAGUUCUAGAGAAGUAAGUUGCCAUCUUCCCUCACCCGUUUUUAUGCCUUUGAAAGCAAAGGUAGGAUGCUCUGCUCUGUGCCAAGUCCUCCAGCUGUGCUCUGCUAGUCACACCUCCAUCUGUAAAUCAUUUCUGAGUCAAACUCCCAAAUCAAAACUUUGACACUGUGAAGGUUAUUAAAAAACUUGCCUCUAGAAGGACACUACCACUGGCCAUUACUAAUUCUCAUGUAGAUCGUUUACAAGUAUUUCAAUUAUCUGAGAUAAUUAGACAUUAGGAUGAUAAAGCUCACUUAGAUGCCUUGAUGCAGGAGGAAUCUCCUUUUUCUUUAUCCAGAGCAUGGUUAGAUAAAAUGUGCUAAAUAUAAACUGCAGAGAAUACAGGAUGAAACAGCUGUUUCAGGAGCUGGUGUCCACAGUAUCUGUAUUUUGAGGGCCCUCUUUCAGAGCACUCCAGUCUAGUGCUGUGAACUCGAUGUCUGUAGUGGCUGGGCUGCAUGAAAUGAGUUAAUUUAUCUAAAAAAGAACUCAAUUAGCACUCUUGGAGACUGCUCCACAAUGGGAAUCAAAUCACGUUAGCUGGGCAGCAAUCAAGGCUUGUCUCACAGGUCACUCCUGACCCAGAGUGAGAUGCUGGAGGCACCCAAAGCCAACCCUUGGGAAACAAUGUGCUCCAUUUUCAUCAGCAUUUUGUGUAUAUUUAGAGGUGAGAAGAGUGAAUAUGACAAUGAGUUUGUGGGCAGCACAACAAGAGCUGUCAACACACGUCAGCCCCAUGUCAACACACGGGUUCCUGCUACCCUUGGCGUGUUUUCAAUCCAGCAAAGCGCUCUAGUGUCUCUGUGCUGGGCUUUUCUCUUCCCUGAAAAAGCAGCCUGAACUGUGCAAAAGGCUCUGCACAAACACUGCUGGCACAGGCGUGGCCCUGCUCAGGGAGGGGACAGGGCAGGAGAGCUCACCCAGCCUGUCCCCUGGUGUCCCUCUCCUCUGGGGCUGGUUCCUCAGCCUGGACCAACACUAAGCUUGGGGAGCAGGAAGGAAGGAGCAAAAACAAAUCAGAAGGAAGGAAGGUUCCUUGCAAGAGAGCAGAUGGAGCAGAGCCCAUGGAGGUUGGCUGUCCUUGUCCCCUGCUCUGUGAGCCAGGGUCACUUCCACAACUGUGACAGUGCUUGGUGCUCCCCAAGCCUGAACCAGAGACCAUUUCCUAACCCUGGGGUACUUGAUCUCCCAGAGUUUGGGUUUUCUUAGGGUUGUUUGGUUUAUGUGACUGUGCACUACUUCAGAAACGGAUGUCAGCUUUCCAAGGAGGCUGUGGGGAAAUUCAGGCUUAUGGGAAACCUUUCAGUUCAAACAAAAUUGCAGAGUUCUCACAAAACUGUCCAGACCUUUUCGCAAUUAUGUUACAUCACACACAGAGCUUGAGCGACUCUGGAUCAUUUCACUGCUCGGCUUCUUAUCUUUUUAUAGUUCUGCUACUGUGGCUCCAUUCUUUCCCAUACGAAGAAACUUAAUUAAUAUUUUAUACCCUUACUAAAUUGUGGAUGCGAUUUGCCAUAACAGUACAGAAAAAGGCAAAUACAUUUUGUCCCCUGCCAACAGAAAAUCCUUAACAGCUGUUUAUUGCUCAUUUGCAAAACAUAAGAGCAAUGGAAUUCCAUUACUUAGAGAAACUGGCUGUUCCAUGAUAUCCUUGGCAACAAACAGCACACUUAUCUUUUUGAACAAUAGACUCUCAAAGUUUCUCCAGCCUACAAAAAUAAGACAGUGAGGAAGACUUUUUCUUAACUGCAAAGUGCCAAACAAUGGGAACUGACUCACCGUCAG